CAGGCCUAACACAUGCAAGUCGAACGGAAAGGCCCUGCUUUUGUGGGGUGCUCGAGUGGCGAACGGGUGAGUAACACGUGAGUAACCUGCCCUUGACUUUGGGAUAACUUCAGGAAACUGGGGCUAAUACCGGAUAGGAGCUCCUGCUGCAUGGUGGGGGUUGGAAAGUUUCGGCGGUUGGGGAUGGACUCGCGGCUUAUCAGCUUGUUGGUGGGGUAGUGGCUUACCAAGGCUUUGACGGGUAGCCGGCCUGAGAGGGCGACCGGCCACAUUGGGACUGAGAUACGGCCCAGACUCCUACGGGAGGCAGCAGUGGGGAAUAUUGCACAAUGGGCGGAAGCCUGAUGCAGCAACGCCGCGUGCGGGAUGACGGCCUUCGGGUUGUAAACCGCUUUCGCCUGUGACGAAGCGUGAGUGACGGUAAUGGGUAAAGAAGCACCGGCUAACUACGUGCCAGCAGCCGCGGUGAUACGUAGGGUGCGAGCGUUGUCCGGAUUUAUUGGGCGUAAAGGGCUCGUAGGUGGUUGAUCGCGUCGGAAGUGUAAUCUUGGGGCUUAACCCUGAGCGUGCUUUCGAUACGGGUUGACUUGAGGAAGGUAGGGGAGAAUGGAAUUCCUGGUGGAGCGGUGGAAUGCGCAGAUAUCAGGAGGAACACCAGUGGCGAAGGCGGUUCUCUGGGCCUUUCCUGACGCUGAGGAGCGAAAGCGUGGGGAGCGAACAGGCUUAGAUACCCUGGUAGUCCACGCUGUAAACGGUGGGUACUAGGUGUGGGGUCCAUUCCACGGGUUCCGUGCCGUAGCUAACGCUUUAAGUACCCCGCCUGGGGAGUACGGCCGCAAGGCUAAAACUCAAAGGAAUUGACGGGGCCCCGCACAAGCGGCGGAGCAUGCGGAUUAAUUCGAUGCAACGCGUAGAACCUUACCUGGGUUUGACAUGGAUCGGGAGUGCUCAGAGAUGGGUGUGCCUCUUUUGGGGUCGGUUCACAGGUGGUGCAUGGCUGUCGUCAGCUCGUGUCGUGAGAUGUUGGGUUAAGUCCCGCAACGAGCGCAACCCUUGUUCACUGUUGCCAGCACGUUAUGGUGGGGACUCAGUGGAGACCGCCGGGGUCAACUCGGAGGAAGGUGGGGAUGACGUCAAGUCAUCAUGCCCCUUAUGUCCAGGGCUUCACGCAUGCUACAAUGGCUGGUACAGAGAGUGGCGAGCCUGUGAGGGUGAGCGAAUCUCGGAAAGCCGGUCUCAGUUCGGAUUGGGGUCUGCAACUCGACCUCAUGAAGUCGGAGUCGCUAGUAAUCGCAGAUCAGCAACGCUGCGGUGAAUACGUUCCCGGGGCUUGUACACACCGCCCGU
rnacentral:rRNA from 1 species